AAGUCGUAACAAGGUUUCCGUAGGUGAACCUGCGGAAGGAUCAUUAAUGAAUGAUAAUUUUUUGGGGUUUUCCCUGAAAAAUAAUUCACCCUUUGUGCAUUGUUAUUAGAUAUACUUUGGUUAGAGCUUUGAUUUCAUUUAUUGGAAUCAACUUCUCGCUGACUCUAUCCUUUUUGAGGACAGUUAGCCAUGAAGCGGCCUACCAAGGUUUUUUUAUCAAACUCUUAUAUCUUGUCUGACCUAAAUAUCAAUAAUUAAAUCAUAACUUUCAACAACGGAUCUCUUGGCUCUC
rnacentral:misc_RNA from 1 species